rnacentral:tRNA from 1 species
GCACCCCUAGCUCAAUUGGAUAGAGCAUCGGUCUACGGAACCGAAGGUUGCUGGUUCGAGCCCAGCGGGGUGUACCU